rnacentral:rRNA from 1 species
GACGAACGCUGGCGGCGUGCUUAACACAUGCAAGUCGAACGGAUAGGCCCUGCUUUUGUGUGGUGCUCGAGUGGCGAACGGGUGAGUAACACGUGAGUAACCUUCCCUUUACUUUGGGAUAACUUCAGGAAACUGGUGCUAAUACCGGAUAGGAGCUCCUGCUGCAUGGUGGGGGUUGGAAAGUUUCGGCGGUUGGGGAUGGACUCGCGGCUUAUCAGCUUGUUGGUGGGGUAGUGGCUUACCAAGGCUUUGACGGGUAGCCGGCCUGAGAGGUUGACCGGCCACAUUGGGACUGAGAGACGGCCCAGACUCCUACGGGAGGCAGCAGGGGGGAAUAUUGCACAAUGGGCGGAAGCCUGAUGCAGAAACGCCGCGUGAGGGAUGACGGCCUUCGGGUUGUAAACCGCUUUCGCCUGUGACGAAGCGUGAGUGACGGUAAUGGGUAAAGAAGCACCGGCUAACUACGUG